CCUUCGUUCUUCGGACUGAACAUAACUGAACUCUUCGUCCCUCAACUCUACCAUUCGAGUCAUCUGCUCAGCUAUAUCCUAUCGCUGCUUCACAAGUACCUCCAUAGCUCUAUCUGCUUCAUCUGCCAUCUUAGCCAAUCGGGAGGCCUUUUCGUCUUGGUCAUCUCGGUAUCGAGUUCUAGGCGAGGUGCCUUCUACUCGUUUCCGACCAUGGCUAGACCCUUUCUCUGCCGUGAAAACUAGCUUUCGCUUAGCUUUGCCCACAGCCUUCGGCCGAGAAUCUUCAUGUGAACAUUUGGACGCUGUGCUGGCGUGAACA
rnacentral:lncRNA from 1 species